UUGACUUAGUCAUGCGAACGAAAGUAACUAUAUCGCUGUAGUUUCGAAGAAACCGGUAUUUGCAUUUCAAUAAUGGUUAUUCGUACUUAUGGCUGCUUAUGUCACAUUACACGUAAUAAUUCUUUUAAAAGUAUAUAAAUAGCACUACGUGUUACACGAAAACCGCGAAACAUAGAUAAAUACCAUAAAAACAUUCUUUAUAUCCUAACUAUACUAAUUGUAAGUAAGUAUACUGUUCUCAUAAGGUAAAUUUUUAUAAUAUAUACGAGUGAUUCUAACCUAAAAGUAAACGAUGUAACUUUCAUCGUAGCGCCUUUAUAUGUAUACGGUCCAGAAAUACAUAGCAAGAAAAAGAGAUGCAAUGUAACCUAAAAUUUUACUUGUUUGUGGCAGCUCGUUACAAAGAUAUCGUGUUAUGAUAAUUAUAAAUUAUUUAGAAAAAGUAGUUUACAAUACGUACCUAUAAACUAGUAAGCGCAAUAGAUAUACAUAUCUAGUUAUUUUAUAAAUUAAUAUUUAAUAUCUAUAUUUAAGGCCUAUGUGAUAUACUUUUCUCUUUUUUCAAUAAUUAUAUCAACGCGUAGUACAACGUGUUGCAUGUAAAACAGUGACAUAAUGAUAAAUAGCGUAAAGACAUAAACAUACGUUUAUUUUCAAGUAUACGUUAUCGUUGGAUUGUUGGCAGAAUAGAAAAUUGGUAAAACGAAAGUAAUGCGUUUGACCGUGCGCUCUCCAGUGAAUGGCACGUUUCAGCGCGGUUACGAACCGAUUAAUCCAUGCUCGUGCAUCAUUAGUGAGAACGCAAUGAUGGUUUGAGCAACAUUAAAAGCCCGCAACGCGAAACGGUAUUCGUCGAUGCCGUCGAUCUACACCAACACGGACCAUUUUUUACUCUGGCAUAUCAGCCACUCAAAGCGUACGUACGCGCCGAUGGAUAAAUCAAUAAACCAAUAGCUAUGGUAAUGCACACCUGCUUUUAAAGUAUCAGCCAACCCCUCCUCGUGCACUCCCGUUUACGCGAUCCAUGCAAUUAUAAGCCGAGUACACGAUUUUCUGCAUCCCCGAAUUAUUACAAAUUGCAGCCUAAUAAAAACAUCCUAAGUAUUGAUUAAUUUCCCUCGCGAAUAUUAAAUGCAGGUACUCAAUAUUCAACCAUAUUUAAAUGUAGAUAAUUAACAAAUAUUUAAUAAUGCAUAUUUGCAGAUUAAGUAACCUUGAAAGAAUAUUUCUCGAGUUUCAAGAAUUUUAUUUGUUCAAUCGAAAUUUGUUAUUUAAACAUUUUAACAAACUUUAUUGAUACUUUGACUCCUUCGAUAAUAGGGAGAAUCUAGUAUUCUAAGUGUUUUAUAUCAUUUCAUUGUGAUUUAUUAUUUACCUCGGAUAUACAUAUUUUUUAAAUCUAAGAGUGCUUUCUGUACGAAGUAUGAGGGAAGAAAAUGCGGAAUCUCGCAAAAGCUUUUAAAUUCUCUUUAUAUUUUAAUGUUAACGUUUUCCCCUUACUCCUUUGUAUGAACAAAUAUAGAUUGAAACAUAUCUAAAAUUAUGUCAACAGAGAAUGAAAAAAAUAUCAAAAGAUACAGUAUAUAAAGUAUACUCUCAGGCAUCUAGAUCAAGAAUAACAGCUCCUUUAAGGAUUCUCCCACGAUUCUUACCCUAGGAUCUUAGAAUGUUUCCAGAUGUAACUGAUUUAUCGGCAGUAGCAGGUAUCACGAGUAAGAACGUAUUUUGUACACUACCCACUGCUCCCUCCGGUUGUUUACACUGGGGAAAACAGGAGAUUAAGAUCAAAAUCGCGUCUGUAUCGAGUUACAGUGUUUGCCAACAUCGCAUAGAUCAACGACACCAAAGGAACAGCUGAUCAAAUCGUUUCUGAUCGGAUAAGAGAGAUUGGACCAUGCGUCGCUAUGUCAAACGAGCGAAGAGGAACAGGAUGAACACACAUAGGAGGAUUUAAAAAAUAUGAGGAAGACAAGGUUUGGACAUAAUCUAAAUGAAAUCCUACCUACUGAAGAGUGAACAAACACAGGCUAGUAGAUGUUAGA